CUCUUCUCCCUCGAUGUCUCUCUUCUCUUUAUCCUCUUUUUGUUUGUGAUUAGGAUUUGUUUUACAUACUAACAGUUGUUUUUGGCUUGCUUUGUAAGUGGAGUGUGUUGAUUCUCUGAAGCAGCUAAAGGAGAAUAAGAAUUUGAUUCGCAUCUUCAUUCUGCUUUUGCAGGAAUGAUAUUGAAGUAGAAGCACUAGUGAUGAAUUGAGAAGAAUACCAGCUAGCACUACCUUCCCUUCCCAAAUGGCCUGAAGGAUUGCUAAUAGCAUACAUGUGUAAGUGACACAAAUUGGGGGAGGAGCCCCUGCUGAAAUUUUACUCAGAACCAUUGAGUGUGUGACAUUUUAAUAUAUCAGUCCACACAGUUAACUGGUUCAUGAUACAUCAGAUCCAAUGGUGAAGAAGUUAGGUGUUGACUCACUUCCUGCUUUGGUUGGUUGGACUUCGAACGGGGAGAAGCAUAUCUUAAAAACAGGAGUCUCUGUAAAAGAUCUAAAAUCUGCAGUUCACGAUCUUAGUGGUUUACUUGAUGGUUAAGAGAAAGAAGAAUAAAAAGGCUGGUUCAACAAGCAGAAAACAACAGACUGAACCUCUUUCUCCUUGGGUAUCAUCUACCUUGGUAGUUGAGCUUUUGUUAGUAGAAUCUGGUGCUUGCAAGCAAAUUGGGUGGAAAUGUGGCUGGUUUAAGAUAUUGUUUCUUUAAAUCUGUUGUUUUCUAUAGGUAGAACUACUG